AUGUAACGGGGCUAAACCAUGCACCGAAGCUGCGGCAGCGACACUAUGUGUUGUUGGGUAGGGGAGCGUUCUGUAAGCCUGCGAAGGUGACCUGUGAGGGUUGCUGGAGGUAUCAGAAGUGCGAAUGCUGACAUAAGUAACGAUAAAGCGGGUGAAAAGCCCGCUCGCCGGAAGACCAAGGGUUCCUGUCCAACGUUAAUCGGGGCAGGGUGAGUCGACCCCUAAGGCGAGGCCGAAAGGCGUAGUCGAUGGGAAACAGGUUAAUAUUCCUGUACUUGGUGUUACUGCGAAGGGGGGACGGAGAAGGCUAUGUUAGCCGGGCGACGGUUGUCCCGGUUUAAGCAUGUAGGCUGGUUAUCCAGGCAAAUCCGGAUAAUCAAGGCUGAGGUGUGAUGACGAGGCACUACGGUGCUGAAGUAACAAAUGCCCUGCUUCCAGGAAAAGCCUCUAAGCAUCAGGUAACAUCAAAUCGUACCCCAAACCGACACAGGUGGUCAGGUAGAGAAUACCAAGGCGCUUGAGAGAACUCGGGUGAAGGAACUAGGCAAAAUGGUGCCGUAACUUCGGGAGAAGGCACGCUGGUGUGUAGGUGAAG
rnacentral:rRNA from 1 species